AAAAACAAGCACGGGAGCUUGGAAAUCACCAGGCUGAGAGGAUGGUACUGUGCCAUCGACCGUUGAACCUGAACUGGGUAAUGCCAGCGGAGGAAUGUCCAUAUGACACGAC
rnacentral:ncRNA from 1 species